rnacentral:ncRNA from 1 species
AUAUUAAUAAGACGGAAAGACCCUAGGAUCUUUUAUUUUUGUUUGGGCGAAUUCGUAUCAUUUAUAGAAAUUGUGACCCUAAUGGAUUAUUGAGUAAAGUUACCCUAGUGAUAACAGAUUAAUAGUUAAUGAGAGAUCUUGUCGAAUUAAUUGUUUGCUACCUCGAUGUUGACUUAGGUUAGGGCUUUGGUGUAGUAGGUUAAGUUGUGGGUCUGUCCGACCUUUAAACCUCCAUGAGCUGAGUUAAGACCGGCGUGAGCCAGGUCGGUUCUUAUCUAUUGUAGAAAUUUAUC